UUGGAAUUUAUGUCCUACGAGGAAGGAAAACCCUGUUGGGCAGACAUCUCAAAAGGCUUACACACAGCAUGGGGACUGCGCGGGAAAACACAAGCGCUUGUGUGAUGGUGACUGCGGCAUGAGUUGUAUCUUAGUCUGUACCUGGAAAAAUGAAGACAUGUAGUAUCAAAACCAAUAGCACAGGGGCCCAUGCCAGAGAGAGAGAGUGAUCCCCCCUGUCCAUUGGCUGGUUGGUCAAGAUCUAGCACAUCCCAACACGGUAGCUGCAAAGACUCAGCAGUGGAGAUCAGGUGCCACCUCUUAAUUGAGGUGUGAGAAGAAAUAAGAACGCUCGUGUCACCAGGCUAUAGGAAAACCUCUGGAGAUCAGCUGUCCUUCCUAUUUACACCCCUGUCUAGCUUGCCACUCCCCUAUUGAUGGUUUGCCACACCCCUGGAUUGUUGGUCAAAGCCCCUGCCUCAGUAAGACCAUUAAUUGUUUUAAGGAAGCUUGAGGUCAGCCUCAUGGGGUGGACAUCCAUGUUGCUGCUUCCAAAUGAAUGCACUUCAACUCUAUGGGAGGCCCAGGGACCUCAGGAAAGGGGCUAUAUGUGUAGAUAAUUCAUUCCAAACUAAACUUUUAGAAAAGGGCAAUAUAAAGUGGCCAGUCCAUGGCUUUCGCACAAAAGUAUUAAGGAUUAUGAGUUGAUGAAAGAAUGGCAUUAUCAUUAUUAUGGUGGUAAUAUGAGGCAUUGAGGAUGGGACCAACCAGUGGCAUAAAUAUUGGGGGUAUAGGUGGUGCAAUCCAAGGUGGGGUCCUUGGACGUAUGGAAUAUGGGUUGUGCCUCUGUUGUGAGGGUUGAGCCUCUGUUUUCCCUACAGAAAGUCGUGUUACUUGAGUCAGUUCCGGGGCCAUCAGAUGCUGUAGAUAUGGCAGCACCCUGUUUCACCUUCCCUGUUGAUGAGGUAUCACUCACUGCAGCUGUUAUUAGAGACAGCAGAAGUUGUAAGCAUUGAAGACAGCAACAAACAUAUUUCCACAUUCCAGUAGGAAACAGUUGGCUCAAUGAGAAGAACUUCUGCCUUGCAGUUCCAUAGUCCUGAGUUUGAUUCUGGCUUGGGCAUGAUCUACAAUGAGUUUAUAUUUUCUCCCCGUGUCUAUGUGGGUUUCCUUUAGCUUCCACCAAAACAUCCAUGCAGGUUAACUGGCUCCUGAUAAAACAGGAGACAAACUGAAAACCAAUAUCUGGAUUUGAACAGCCAAUGGGGUGAUCCCAACUUUAUUGGCUCACGACACUACACACAUGAUCAAACGUUUCAGGACCCAAUGGCCGUUCCUAAUUGAGGGCCAUUUGGGUCUAAAAGGUUUUGGAUGUGGUUUUAAAUUUGUCACAAGUGUAAUGUAUAUUGCUGGUGCGUGGCUAGGCCAGUACCAGUACCUGCUUCUGCAAUCCUGAUAAGA